rnacentral:lncRNA from 1 species
UCUUGGUCAGGGUUUUCUUCUUCCUCUUCUUUCUUCUCUUCCUCUUCUUCGUCGUCUUCUGCUGGGGGAUCAUAAGGCAUCGGUGGUGGCAAUGGCGUCUUCAUUGGGCUAAACUUGGGGAAAAUAUCAGGCCUCCUCCCAGGUUUAGGUCUCUCCCACUCCUAGCAGUAGAACACAACUAAAUUAGUAUCAUUUCUGGCAACACAUAACAAGAGGGAACAUCCAUUUCUAGUAAGGUGCUGACUUGUAGAACGAGAACAGCAAGCAUAACCAUAAGAACAUGCUCUUUAUGUACCCAACCCCAUGUAGUAGAUUCUCGAGUUUCCAUAACCAAAACUAAUAGGGAAAGAAUGAAAACGGAGCACCAAGAAUCUAACCAACCAGUAAGCUGAGGAAUAAGACUUAAUGAUACAAAAUGGCUUCAAAUAGAAACAUAGGUUAAACAACCUCAAGACCUAAUAAUGAUUAGAAGCCCCUCAUCUAGUUUUCUUAUAUUCAAUCACAUAUAAAAGUAAAUAGGUGAAACAAAAAAGCAAUACUAACUGAAUCAAACCUUCUUUACUCUCAAUCACCAAUUAAGCUGCGAAUUGAAAAUGUGAAACUGGAGAUUCUAUGGGAAUAUCCAAAAUCUAAUUGAAGGGGAACUUACAAUAGGGAAAUCGAGAGGAUUGCGACGAGUGAGCUUUUCUUCCUCGGGAGCCAUAGCCACAACUUGCAGCUUAUUAUGAUUUGCACUUCUAGUCAUCCGAAGGCUAGGCGAAGAACGGGGGAUGGACGAGAAACCAUGGGCACGGGACGAAGAG